rnacentral:lncRNA from 1 species
GGACAUUUCCCAUUUUAACCCCUUGGACCCCACAACUUAAAGCUCCUUAGGACUUCAUUAUCACCUCAUUCCUAAUAAAACAUUCUCAAAUUCUCUCUCAAACUCUCUGUUCAAGUUAAGGCUAGGAUUUCAAAGAAAGUGGUCAUCUAGGGUUCUAAGGGUGCUUUCUUCUCCAAAUUUCUUGGUAUCCCAGGUAUGUUACUCUUCCCUCAUUGUUAAUUUUGCAAAAGCAUGUGAUUUGGAGUGCUGUUUAUAAGGUUAUGGUUUUGGUUUUGAAAACAAAGGUUGGGGUUUUUGAAUGUUAUGAAUUCAAGGGUUUUGAAUGUUAUGAAUUGAAUAAUGUUUCCCAUGGUUUAUACAUAUGAUUUUCAUGCUUUUAAUAUGGUUUUGAACUUGUGGGUGUAUGAGUAUGGUGAAUGAAUUAGGGAAUUGUAACUUUCCCAAACUUGUAACUUUUGAAGUGGUUAUAACCCUAACCAUAUAAUGUGAAAUUGGUUUUAGUUAUGAGAACUGUGGAAAUUUGUAAAAUUGAACUAGUCUUGAACUAUUUCGUGAUGUAAAGAAGUAUUUGAAAUACAAUGGUAUGAUUUAAUGAACAAAGGGAGUCGGUGUUCCCCAAUGUGUAUUAAUGAACAAAGGGAGUUGUUCUCUCUAAGUUAAUGGAGGUUGUUUGGGCAUGAUGUGUUACCUUGCAAAUGUGGUUGGUAUAAUGAUACCAACAAUGUAUGCCUAAAUAUGUAUCGAGGUUCAUUGAAUGGGAAUGUGUGACAACUGUUUUAAUUGGGUUCUAGUAAGGGUUGUGUAGUGGAGUCGUGAAAGUAGACGUCCGAGUGACCGAUACUGAAAAUCGUGUUUGCCGACGCGGGGGUCAAAGUGACCAGGGAUUAUUAGGGAUGUUUGAGUCCCCCGUAAAUCAUUAUAUGAUCGGGUGCUGAAGUCACUUGGUAUAUGUUGGAGGGUUCGAGUCCCCUAUGUGCAUAUAUAUGAGAUUAUUCUUCGGUUCGUGUGACUAUGCGCACUGGGGCCCAAUCAAGGGGUGAGAGCUGGGGCCCAUAUAGCCCGUGGGUACUAUUAUAUAAUGGUUGAGCUACACAAUCUAGGCUAAAGUUUUGAAAAACAUGUUAAGCCUUGUUCCCUAUCCUGGCAUGUGACAUAUAUAGCUAUGUACUUGCAUUUGACUAUGUGCACUAUCUUUUAAAUGAUUUUAACUGUUGAUUAUAUCAUUAUGUUAUUCUUAUCCCCGAGUUUCAUGCUAGUGUUCAUCCCGCUAACCGUCUUCGGCCGCUGUAUCCUUACGUGAUGCAGGAACUGGCCAUACUUCUACCUCUCCUGCAUUUGACUGGGAUUCAGGAUCAGGUCGUGAGUCAGACUGAAGUGUUAAGCUUCCAUACUUCGGAAGGCCCCAUUUCAUGUUUUGACUAUUUCUUUGGACUUGAUUUUGGCUAUGGUCGGGGGCAUGUCUCGACUGGAUAAUCUUUGGUUUUGAUUAGAGGCUUUGUCGGACUAUUUUUGGCAUGAGCGGUGUCGGUAUUGGCAUUGGCAUUGGUAUUGGUUGGAUGUUUGGUUGUAAACGGUUAGUUUUGGUUAUAGACUUAUUAUAAUAUUUUUUUAUUUAAUGCUCUCUUAUCUUGUUAUAUGUUCGGAAUUCAUCUGACGCGGGGUGUAAGGUGGGUGAUGGUUUGGGUAUUGGGGGUGGUCUCCGGUCCUGGUUGGACUUGAGAUACCCGACACGGCCAAGCCCGGGUUCGAGUCGUGUCAGAUUGGUACCAUAGCCUAGGUUUGGUGUUAUUAGAUGUCCGACAAAAGCUGUGUCGAGUAGAGUUUCUUUUAUAGGUGUAUAACGCGGC